rnacentral:rRNA from 1 species
GAUCAUGGCUCAGAUUGAACGCUGGCGGAAUGCUUUACACAUGCAAGUCGAACGGCAGCGGGGGCUUCGGCCUGCCGGCGAGUGGCGAACGGGUGAGUAAUGCAUCGGAACGUGCCCAUGUCGUGGGGGAUAACGUAUCGAAAGGUACGCUAAUACCGCAUACGUCCUGAGGGAGAAAGCGGGGGAUCUUCGGACCUCGCGCGAUUGGAGCGGCCGAUGUCGGAUUAGCUAGUAGGUGAGGUAAAGGCUCACCUAGGCGACGAUCCGUAGCGGGUCUGAGAGGAUGAUCCGCCACACUGGGACUGAGACACGGCCCAGACUCCUACGGGAGGCAGCAGUGGGGAAUUUUGGACAAUGGGCGCAAGCCUGAUCCAGCCAUGCCGCGUGAGUGAAGAAGGCCUUCGGGUUGUAAAGCUCUUUCGGCCGGGAAGAAAUCGUGUUCUCUAACAUAGGACAUGGAUGACGGUACCGGACUAAGAAGCACCGGCUAACUACGUG